rnacentral:rRNA from 1 species
GGAUAUGCCUAGGUGGGAUUAGCUAGUUGGUGAGGUAAGGGCUCACCAAGGCGACGAUCCCUAGCUGGUCUGAGAGGAUGAUCAGCCACACUGGAACUGAGACACGGUCCAGACUCCUACGGGAGGCAGCAGUGGGGAAUAUUGCACAAUGGGCGCAAGCCUGAUGCAGCCAUGCCGCGUGUGUGAAGAAGGCCUUCGGGUUGUAAAGCACUUUCAGUCGUGAGGAAGGUGGUGUAGUUAAUAGCGGCAUCAUUUGACGUUAGCGACAGAAGAAGCACCGGCUAACUCCGUGCCAGCAGCCGCGGUAAUACGGAGGGUGCGAGCGUUAAUCGGAAUUACUGGGCGUAAAGCGCAUGCAGGUGGUUUGUUAAGUCAGAUGUGAAAGCCCGGGGCUCAACCUCGGAAUAGCAUUUGAAACUGGCAGACUAGAGUACUGUAGAGGGGGGUAGAAUUUCAGGUGUAGCGGUGAAAUGCGUAGAGAUCUGAAGGAAUACCGGUGGCGAAGGCGGCCCCCUGGACAGAUACUGACACUCAGAUGCGAAAGCGUGGGGAGCAAACAGGAUUAGAUACCCUGGUAGUCCACGCCGUAAACGAUGUCUACUUGGAGGUUGUGGCCUUGAGCCGUGGCUUUCGGAGCUAACGCGUUAAGUAGACCGCCUGGGGAGUACGGUCGCAAGAUUAAAACUCAAAUGAAUUGACGGGGGCCCGCACAAGCGGUGGAGCAUGUGGUUUAAUUCGAUGCAACGCGAAGAACCUUACCUACUCUUGACAUCCAGAGAACUUUCCAGAGAUGGAUUGGUGCCUUCGGGAACUCU